GCCUACGGGGGGCAGCAGUGGGGAAUCUUGCGCAAUGGGCGAAAGCCUGACGCAGCCAUGCCGCGUGAAUGAUGAAGGUCUUAGGAUUGUAAAAUUCUUUCACCGGGGACGAUAAUGACGGUACCCGGAGAAGAAGCCCCGGCUAACUUCGUGCCAGCAGCCGCGGUAAUACGAAGGGGGCUAGCGUUGCUCGGAAUUACUGGGCGUAAAGGGAGCGUAGGCGGACAGUUUAGUCAGAGGUGAAAGCCCAGGGCUAAACCUGGGAAUUGCCUUUGAUACUGGCUGGCUUGAGUGUGGUAGAGGUGUGUGGAACUCCGAGUGUAGAGGUGAAAUUCGUAGAUAUUCGGAAGAACACCAGUGGCGAAGGCGACACACUGGCCCAAUACUGACGCUGAGGCUCGAAAGCGUGGGGAGCAAACAGGAUUAGAUACCCUAGUAGUC
rnacentral:rRNA from 1 species